GUUCAGAACGUCGUGAGACAGUUCGGUCCCUAUCCGUCGCGGGCGUAGGAAAUUUGAGAGGAGCUGCCCUUAGUACGAGAGGACCGGGGUGGACGUACCUCUGGUGUAUCAGUUGUUCCGCCAGGAGCAUCGCUGAGUAGCUAUGUACGGAUGAGAUAAACGCUGAAAGCAUCUAAGUGUGAAACUCGCCUCGAGAUGAGAUUUCCCAUUCUUUAUGAAGUAAGACCCCUCAGAGAUGAUGAGGUAGAUAGGCUAGAAGUGGAAGUGCGGCGACGCAUGGAGCGGACUAGUACUAAUGGUUCGAGGACUUAACCAA
rnacentral:rRNA from 1 species